GACGAACGCUGGCGGCGUGCCUAACACAUGCAAGUCGAACGAGCGCUUCGGGGCUUGUUUCGUCAGGCUACGUGCGGCGGGGUGACUAGCGCGUGGGUAAGGAGCCACUCAGAGAAGUUUAACAUAAGAACGCGAGAUGUCUUACGGCAAAAGAUUACGCGCCUUUAGAUGGGCCCGCGUUAGAUUAGCUAGUUGGUGGGGUAACGGCCUACCAAGGCGACGAUCCUUAGCCGGUCUGAGAGGAUGAACAGCCACACUGGGACUGAGACACGGCCCAGACUCCUACGGGAGGCAGCAGUGGGGAAUAUUGCACAAUGGGCGAAAGCCUGAUCCAGCGAUGCCGCGUGAAUGAUGAAGGUCUUAGGAUUGUAAAGCCCUGUUAUCCGAGAAGAUAAUGACAGUACCGGAAGAAUAAGCGCCGGCUAACUACGUG
rnacentral:rRNA from 1 species